GACGAACGCUGGCGGCGUGCUUAACACAUGCAAGUCGAACGGAAAGGCCCUGCUUUUGUGGGGUGCUCGAGUGGCGAACGGGUGAGUAACACGUGAGUAACCUGCCCUUGACUUUGGGAUAACUUCAGGAAACUGGGGCUAAUACCGGAUAGGAGCUCCUGCUGCAUGGUGGGGGUUGGAAAGUUUCGGCGGUUGGGGAUGGACUCGCGGCUUAUCAGCUUGUUGGUGGGGUAGUGGCUUACCAAGGCUUUGACGGGCAGCCGGCCUGAGAGGGUGACCGGCCACAUUGGGACUGAGGUACGGCCCAGACUCCUACGGGAGGCAGCAGUGGAGAAUAUUGCACAAUGGGCGGAAGCCUGAUGCAGCAACGCCGCGUGCGGGAUGACGGCCUUCGGGUUGUAAACCGCUUUCGCCUGUGACGAAGCGUGAGUGACGGUAAUGGGUAAGGAAGCACCGGCUAACUACGUG
rnacentral:rRNA from 1 species